UACGGAGGGGGCUAGCGUUGUUCGGAAUUACUGGGCGUAAAGCGCACGUAGGCGGAUCAGAAAGCCAGAGGUGAAAUCCCAGGGCUCAACCUUGGAACUGCCUUUGAAACUCCUGGUCUUGAGGUCGAGAGAGGUGAGUGGAAUUCCGAGUGUAGAGGUGAAAUUCGUAGAUAUUCGGAGGAACACCAAUGGCGAAGGCAAGCUCCUGGCCGAUGAUUGACGCUGAGGUGCGAAAGUGUGGGGAUCAAACAGG
rnacentral:rRNA from 1 species